GAUGAACGCUAGCGGCAGGCUUAACACAUGCAAGUCGAGGGGUAUAGUUCUUCGGAACUAGAGACCGGCGCACGGGUGCGUAACGCGUUUGCAAUCUACCUUUUACAGAGGGAUAGCCCAGAGAAAUUUGGAUUAAUACCUCAUAGUAUGUGAGAAUCGCAUGAUUUUCACAUUAAAGUUCCAACGGUAAAAGAUGAGCAUGCGUCCCAUUAGCUAGAUGGUAAGGUAACGGCUUACCAUGGCGACGAUGGGUAGGGGUCCUGAGAGGGAGAUCCACCACACUGGUACUGAGACACGGACCAGACUCCUACGGGAGGCAGCAGUGAGGAAUAUUGGACAAUGGGCGCAAGCUUGAUCCAGCCAUGCCGCGUGCAGGAUGACGGUCCUAUGGAUUGUAAACUGCUUUUGUACAGGAAGAAACACUCCCUCGUGAGGGAGCUUGACGGUACUGUAAGAAUAAGGAUCGGCUAACUCCGUGCCAGCCGCCGCGGUAACAC
rnacentral:rRNA from 1 species